GACGAACGCUGGCGGCGUGCUUAACACAUGCCAGUCGAACGGAAAGGCCCUUCUUUUGUGGGGUGCUCGAGUGGCGAACGGGUGAGUAACACGUGAGUAACCUGCCCUUGACUUUAGGAUAACUUCAGGAAACUGGGGCUAAUACCGGAUAGGAGCUCCUGCUGCAUGGUGGGGGUUGGAAAGUUUCGGCGGUUGGGGAUGGACUCGCGGCUUAUCAGCUUGUUGGUGGGGUAGUGGCUUACCAAGGCUUUGACGGGUAGCCGGCCUGAGAGGGUGACCGGCCACAUUGGGAAUGAGAUACGGCCCAGACUCCUACGGGAGGCAGCAGUGGGGAAUAUUGCAAAAUGGGCGGAAGCCUGAUGCAGCAACGCCGCGUGCGGGAUGACGGCCUUCGGGUUGUAAACCGCUUUCGCAGGUGACGAAGCGUGAGUGACGGUAAUGGGUAAAGAAGCACCGGCUAACUACGUG
rnacentral:rRNA from 1 species